rnacentral:misc_RNA from 1 species
GUGAAUCAUCGAAUUUUUGAACGCAAAUUGCACUUUCUGGUAUUCCGGAAAGUAUGCCUGUUUGAGGGUCAGUUAAAUAAAAAUCGGUGCUAUUGCUCUUAAUGGUGAUGCAUAGGAAUUGAGUUGUUUUUACCUUUGGUUUUAUGUGACUUAUAAUUAUGUACGUUUUCCGAACGUAACUAAAUUAUUUACUUACGCUCAUGAUUUCACAU